rnacentral:rRNA from 1 species
CCUACGGGUGGCAGCAGUGGGGAAUAUUGCACAAUGGGGGAAACCCUGAUGCAGCAACGCCGCGUGAAGGAAGACGGUUUUCGGAUUGUAAACUUCUGUUCUUAGGGAAGAAAUAUGACGGUAGCUAAGGAGCAAGCCACGGCUAACUAGGUGCCAGCAGCGGCGGUAAUACGUAGGUGGAAAGCGUUGUCCGGAAUUACUGGGUGUAAAGGGGGCGCAGGCGGGAAGUUAAGUCAGCGGUGAAAACUACGGGCUUAACUUGUAGACUGCAGUUGAAACGGGUUUUCUUGAGUGAGGUAGAGGUAGGCGGAAUGCCUGGUGUAGCGGUGAAAUGCGUAGAUAUUAGGAGGAACACCGGUGGCGAAGGCGGCCAGCUGGGCUUUAACUGACGCUGAGGCACGAAAGUGUGGGGAGCAAACAGGAUUAGAUACCCGGGUAGUC